rnacentral:rRNA from 1 species
UACGAAGGGGGCUAGCGUUGCUCGGAAUCACUGGCGUAAAGGGUGCGUAGCGGGUCUUAAGUCAGGGUGAAAUCCUGGAGCUCAACUCCAGAACUGCCUUUGAUACUGAAGAUCUUGAGUUCGGGAGAGGUGAGUGGAACUGCGAGUGUAGAGGUGAAAUUCGUAGAUAUUCGCAAGAACACCAGUGGCGAAGGCGGCUCACUGGCCCGGUACUGACGCUGAGGUGCGAAAGCGUGGGGAGCAAACAGG